rnacentral:rRNA from 1 species
GGCGGUAAUGGCCCACCUAGGCUUCGACGGGUAGCCGGCCUGAGAGGGCGGACGGCCACAUUGGGACUGAGAUACGGCCCAGACUCCUACGGGAGGCAGCAGUGGGGAAUAUUGCGCAAUGGGGAAAACCCUGACGCAGCGACGCCGCGUGCGGGAUGAAGGCCUUCGGGUUGUAAACCGCUUUUGAUUGGGGAGCAAGCCUUUGGGUGAGUGUACCUUUCGAAUAAGCGCCGGGCUAACUACGUGCCCAGCAGCCGCGGGUAAAUA